rnacentral:tRNA from 1 species
GCCUGAGUGGCUCAGUCGAUUAAGCAUCUGACUUCGGCUCAGGUCAUGAUCUCACAGUUUGUGAGUUCAAGCCCCACAUCUGGCU